UGAGGGCAGAGACCCGGCCCCUGCGGACCACUUCAAGGCAAGAGUUAGGGGUCAGACUGAGGACUUCUGGUCUAGAGGCGGCAGGAAAAGACAUCUGGGACCUCACCUGACCUCCACAAGUACUCAGAACAGUAUCUUCAUUGAAGCCAAUGGCUCCAAAAUUACCUUCAACAACCUAGAGAACAUCCCAUCUGGCCCUGACAACUUGAAAGCAGCUAACUUCUCCAGGAUUCCAUUGGAUGCAAGCAUGAAGCAUGGCAUUACUCAGAUGAUAGCCAAAUACCCAUUCUUGGAUCUCAUCCCAACUGGCUGAAUAUUGUUGUCUACUACAUCUCUGGAGUAGCCAAAGCUACUCUAAUCAGAGAAACUAUAAUAAAAAUGCUUAGCUCUCAGUACAAUUUCAACUGAAUGAGGACAUGGCGGGGAAAAAAAAGCACUGUCUUAUUUCAUUCAGAAAUAAUUCUUUGUUUUGGGUGCUGCAAUAUUAAUUCAGUAGCUGAAAUAAUUUAUACAGAGCUUAUUUCCUGAUAUGAGGUUCUGGUGCUCAUGGGGGACUUCGAUCACCGUGACAUCUGCUGGGAGAGCAAUACAGCAGUGCACAGGCAAUUUGGGAACUUUUUGGAGAAUGCUGGGGACAACUACCUGGUGUAAGUGUUCGAGAGACCAACUAGGGGCCACUUUCUUCUUAAUCUGCUGCUCACAAACAAGUUAAGAAUUGGUGGGGAAUGUAGUAGUGGAUGGGAACUUGAGCAGCAACGACCACAAAAUGAUUGAGUUCAAUAUCCCAAGGAAAGGAAGGAAGAACAGCAGCAGAGUACAGACCCUGGACUUCAGAAAAGCAGACUUCAACUCACUCAGGAAACUCAUGGGCAGGAUCCCCUGGGAAGCCAGUGUGAUGGGGAGAGGAGUUCAGGAGAGCUGACUGUACUUAAAAGAAAUUUUACUGACGGUGCAGGAACAAACCAUCCCAAUGCACAGGAAGACUAGCAAGUAUGGCAGAAGAUCAGCUUGGCUUAGCAAGAACUCUUUAGUACGCUAAAUUACAAAAAGGAAGCGUAAAGAAGUAGAAACUUGGACAAACAACUAGGGAGGAGUAUAAGAGUAUCCCUGGGGCAGGCAGGGAUGAAAUCAGGAAGGCCAAAGCCCAACCAGAGUUGCUGCUAGCAAGGGGCGUGAACAGUAACAAGAAGGGUUUCUACAAGUAUGUCAGCUACAACAGGAGGAUCAGAGAAAGUGUGGGUCUCUUACUGAAUGGGGGAGGCAACCUAUUGACAGGAUGCAGAAAAAGAGCUGAAAUACUCCAUGCCUUUUUCACCUCAGUCUCCACAGACAAGGUCAGCUCCCAGACUACUGCGCCUGCAGCAAAGUUUAGUGAGGAGCUAAGCAGCCAGUAGUGGCAAAAGAACAGGCUAGGGACUAUUUAGAAAAGCUGGAUGUGUACAAGUUCAUGGGGCUGGACAGGAUGCACCCGAGGGUGCUGAGGGAGUUGGCCAAUGUGAUUGCAGAGCCAUUUGCCAUCACCUUUAAAACUCGUGGUGAUUGGGAGGGGUACUGGACUAUUGGAAAAGGGCAAAUAUACCGCCCAUACUAAGAAAAGGAAGGAGGUGAAUCCAGGGAACUACUGACUGGCUAACCAGCAGAUCUGCAGAAAAGGACCUGGGGGUUACAGUGGACAGUAAGCUGAAUAUAAGGCAACAGUGUUUCCUUGUUGCAAAGAAAGCUAACAGCAUACUGGGCUGCAUUAGUAGAAGGGUUGUCAGCAGAUUGAGGAAAGAUUAUUCCCCUCUAUUCAACACUGAUGAGGCCACAUCUGGAGUACUGUGUUCAGUUUUGCGUGCCCCACUAUAGAAAGGAUGUGGACAAACUGGAGUGAGAUCAGCAGAGGGCAACGAAAAUGGUUACAGGGUUGAGGCACAUGACUUCUCAGGAGAGGCUGAGGGAACUGGGUUUAUUUAGUCUGGAAAAGAGAAGACUAAGGGAGUGGAAGGGGGAUUUAAUAGCAGCCUUCAACUACCUGAAGGGUAGUUUCAAAGCAGAUGGAGCUCAGCUGUUCUCACUGGUGGCAGAUAACAGAACAAGCAGCAAUGGUCUCAAGUUGCAGUAAGGGAAAUUUAGGUUAGAUAUUAGGAAAAUAACCCUCUCAUUAGGAGGGUAGUAAAACACUGGAACAGGUUACCCCAAGAGGCUGUAGAGUCCCCAUCCUUGGAGGUUUUUAAGACCUGGUUAGACAAAGACUUGGCUGGGAUGAUCUAGUUGGGGAUGGUCCUGCUUUGAGCAGGCGAUUGGACUAGAUGACCUCCCCUAAGGUCCCUUCCAACCCUAAUUUUCUAUGAUUCUAUUUGUAACUGGCAAGCAAGAGAAAGUUUUUAAACCUUUACAAAACGAUUCUUUCAGAAAGCUUCUUUAAAAAAAACCCCAACAAUUGUUCCAGAGGACUUUUCCAUACAAAUACUAAUAAACAUUAACCUUGACUUUGGUUACCUCAUUUUGUUCAAAUUCAAGAACUAACCACAAAAUAAAAAAAUCUUAUUUGAUAUUUUUUUUCUCCACUGAAAGCAUUAUUUUUCCAUACAAUAGACACUGAGAAACCUUUUCUUCUCCAAAAAGAAGUCAUUAUACUCCUGGCUGUUUAAAGCAAUUUUGUUAUUAACAAUCAACAACUUCUCCUUUUGACUAACUUUAGAGAAGCACUAUAGAAUUCCUGUAUGUAACUUAAAGUUUCCUUGAAAAUUAUUUGUUUUCUUCCAAAAUAAGGCAUUCCUAUUACUAAUGAAGAAAGGUUCCUUUUUGUAUUCUGCAGCAUUUAUUGCUCCAUUUUUAAUAUAUUUUCCGUUCACUUGUACAACACCUAUGCAUAUUUUGUAAUUUUUUUCUUUAAUGUUUACACAAUAAUCAAUUAAAUUUUGAUAUUUCUUUA